CAUUAAAAAAGAAUAAUUAUAAAAAAAUCAACGAAACAGUUAAAAUUAAUAAUCUCAGUAAUUAUUGUUUCAACAAUGUGUUGCACAAUUCAGUGCGUUUCGUUCCAUUAACAAAAAAAAGGGG